AGUGAACGCUGGCGGUAGGCCUAACACAUGCAAGUCGAACGGCAGCACAGGAGAGCUUGCUCUCUGGGUGGCGAGUGGCGGACGGGUGAGGAAUACAUCGGAAUCUACUCUGUCGUGGGGGAUAACGUAGGGAAACUUACGCUAAUACCGCAUACGACCUACGGGUGAAAGCAGGGGACCUUCGGGCCUUGCGCGAUUGAAUGAGCCGAUGUCGGAUUAGCUAGUUGGCGGGGUAAAGGCCCCCCAAGGCGACGAUCCGUAGCUGGUCUGAGGGGAUGAUCAGCCACACUGGAGCUGAGACACGGUCCAGACUCCUACGGGAGGCAGCAGUGGGGAAUAUUGGACAAUGGGCGCAAGCCUGAUCCAGCCAUACCGCGUGGGUGAAGAAGGCCUUCGGGUUGUAAAGCCCUUUUGUUGGGAAAGAAAUCCAGCUGGCUAAUACCCGGUUGGGAUGACGGUACCCAAAGAAUAAGCACCGGCUAACUUCGUGCCAGCAGCCGCCGUAA
rnacentral:rRNA from 1 species